GCUCCUGGCCGCCCGUCCGCGGGCCAAGCCAGGAGGACACCCAAAACGCGGACUACGCGCGUAGAGGCCUGCCGUAGGGACUUUCGGACGGGGGUUCGACUCCCCCCACCUCCACCA
rnacentral:tmRNA from 1 species